rnacentral:misc_RNA from 1 species
ACUCCAAUUGUCCUCAAAAUUUUGUGAUAUAACGUAGUUUGAAUGCAAAAGAUUGGACAUAGCUGUAAAGUUUAACAUUUUCUUUGAAGAUAACACCACUUUGGAAUUUAGGAUUGCACAGCACACUUUUGGAUUAAUCAUUUGUAUAGCCUUCAGUAAUUAAUCCUAUUUGACAUAUGAUUCAACAAUCUGAUUAAUGAAUGAAAUUCUAUCUCUAUAAGGAUUUGAUUGCACAGGAAAAAUGUUAAACAGCUAAGAUUGGGUUCCUCCUCUCAGCUAACAGCCCAACAAUUUGGGCUUCUUAUUAGGUUUGUUUAUAACACUAGUCUGCAACUGUCAACCAACAUGUACGGUCAACAAUUCAAAGGUGUUCUUCUAAUUCAUUAUUCCUCAAUGACAACAAUCUUCAAAAGGAAAAUCAAUCUCAAUCUCAAAUCUGUCUAAGCCAAUGAAUGUGUGUCCUGAUGGAUGGGAACAAAAACCAAGG